rnacentral:rRNA from 1 species
UAACUGCGGAUCGUACGAGCUCUAGAGAUAGAGCUUCCCUUCGGGGGACAAAGUGACAGGUGGUGCAUGGUUGUCGUCAGCUCGUGUCGUGAGAUGUUGGGUUAAGUCCCGCAACGAGCGCAACCCUUAAUCUUAUUUGCCAUCAUUAAGUUGGGCACUCUAGGUUGACUGCCGGUGACAAACCGGAGGAAGGUGGGGAUGACGUCAAAUCAUCAUGCCCCUUAUGAUUUGGGCUACACACGUGCUACAAUGGACAAUACAAAGGGCAGCUAAACCGCGAGGUCAUGCAAAUCCCAUAAAGUUGUUCUCAGUUCGGAUUGUACUCUGCAACUCGACUACAUGAAGCUGGAAUCGCUAGUAAUCGUAUAUCAGCAUGCUACGGUGAAUACUUUCCCGGGUCUUGUACACACCGA